rnacentral:rRNA from 1 species
AGUGAACGCUGGCGGUAGGCCUAACACAUGCAAGUCGAACGGCAGCACAGUAAGAGCUUGCUCUUACGGGUGGCGAGUGGCGGACGGGUGAGGAAUACAUCGGAAUCUACUUUUUCGUGGGGGAUAACGUAGGGAAACUUACGCUAAUACCGCAUACGACCUACGGGUGAAAGCAGGGGAUCUUCGGACCUUGCGCGAUUGAAUGAGCCGAUGUCGGAUUAGCUAGUUGGCGGGGUAAAGGCCCACCAAGGCGACGAUCCGUAGCUGGUCUGAGAGGAUGAUCAGCCACACUGGAACUGAGACACGGUCCAGACUCCUACGGGAGGCAGCAGUGGGGAAUAUUGGACAAUGGGCGCAAGCCUGAUCCAGCCAUACCGCGUGGGUGAAGAAGGCCUUCGGGUUGUAAAGCCCUUUUGUUGGGAAAGAAAAGCAGCAGGUUAAUACCCCGCUGUUCUGGCGGUACCCAAAGAACAAGCACCGGCUAACUUCGUG